rnacentral:rRNA from 1 species
GAUGAACGCUGGCGGCGUGCCUAAUACAUGCAAGUCGAGCGAACGGACGAGAAGCUUGCUUCUCUGAUGUUAGCGGCGGACGGGUGAGUAACACGUGGAUAACCUACCUAUAAGACUGGGAUAACUUCGGGAAACCGGAGCUAAUACCGGAUAAUAUUUUGAACCGCAUGGUUCAAAAGUGAAAGACGGUCUUGCUGUCACUUAUAGAUGGAUCCGCGCUGCAUUAGCUAGUUGGUAAGGUAACGGCUUACCAAGGCAACGAUGGAUAGCCGACCUGAGAGGGUGAUCCGCCACACUGGAACUGAGACACGGUCCAGACUCCUACGGGAGGCAGCAGUAGGGAAUCUUCCGCAAUGGGCGAAAGCCUGACGGAGCAACGCCGCGUGAGUGAUGAAGGUCUUCGGAUCGUAAAACUCUGUUAUUAGGGAAGAACAUAUGUGUAAGUAACUGUGCACAUCUUGACGGUACCUAAUCAGAAAGCCACGGCUAACUACGUG